GGAGGAACCCCUAUAGAGUUCCAAGGAGGCUGAUCCCCUAAAGAGAUCAACCCCAAGUUUAGAAUCUACAAGGGUUCUAACACCUGGUAUCAGAGCAGCGUUCUUGGCAUCUUGCUGCCCUUCCACUGCCAUCCAUCAACCCUCCACAACUGUCCAAAGCAAUUCCCACAAUUGCUUAAAAGAUCGUCGCCAAAUUCCGCCAUCAUCUCCACCACCGCGGAUCAUCCCGUGAAUUGCAACAGGUUCUGGUUUCCUACCUUACUGCUACUGCAAUUUAGUUAUCCCUAUCCGAAAAUCCAAAAAAAA
rnacentral:lncRNA from 1 species